GGAUUAAUAUAUUCAUACUUUCUCUUCCUCUUUUUUAUCACAUCAUAAAAACCAAUUAACCUUUACUCCAUAUUCGGCCCAUCCAUUCUUCUUUUCCACCCAUCGUUAUGCUUGAUUUAUGGUUGGGUAUUUUCUGUCAUCCUCAAGUGUGACUUAACUUGAAAUCUUUGUUUUGUCUAUUUUGGCUAAGCACAGUGGCUUAUAGGUUGUGUCCUUUCCUGGUUUAUGUGAGUAAGGGAGGAUUUCGUUGGGGCUAUUGGUUUGAGUUGCUUCGAAUCUGGUGUGGUGGCCUUUUUGGAAGGUGUCUGGUUGUUUUCGGUGUUUUUCAAAUCUUUGGCGGUGUUGGUUCGAUCUUGUUCUGGUCGUCGGAUUUUGGGUUCAAUUGAUGGGCUCGGUUCUGGUUCUGGUGCUUUGGAUCUGAGGUCUUAUCCUGUCGAUCCGUGUGCUUGUGCAAACUGGGUUUCAUGUUUUAAUUUGUUUAUCUUUGCCAUGAUUAGAUUUGGGAGUCAUGUGUUGAUUUCUUGCAGUUCUAUUGCAUUUCCUCUUCAAUAAUCAGUUUGGGUGUUCUUAUUUGAUCUGUUUGUUUUUCGUUCAAAUAGAUUUUAUCUUUCCAGUGUAAUAAUCGAUGUUUAUUAUCUGAAAUCAUUUCUUGAUCUGAUCUCUGAUUGUUUGGGUUGAUUGGCUUGAUUCAGGUGAUUAAUUGCUAUGUUCUGCUAUCUCCUCCUUGUUUAUGGGUGUUGUAGCUGUUAAUGCUAUUUUGGAUAUGGGCUAAUUUUGUCGCCGGCAGCCAUGGUGGCUCGUUGUUCUUACAUGGAUUAGUACAUUAAUAACACCUCCAUAAGUCGACCUUUGUUAUGCAGCAAAUCUGGACCUAAAAGAUAGAAAAUGAAGUCCAUCUGUUAAUUUGAAAUUUGAAAGUGUGGGCCCCAAUUGCACAGCCCAAGGUCAACCUCACUCUGCCCUAUAUCGGAAUAACAACCACCGGCGAACUGCAGCAGCGACCGGCCAGAGAGACGCCCAAACAGAUGGAAACAGAUGAACAUGUCGUUUUCUUUUCUUUUUUCAUUUUCUUUUACCAGCCACAUAGGAAAAAAACAUGAAAUAGUUUAACUGACGUUAAAUUAAUUUAACAGAAUGACCUAAUUGCUUUUUUUUUUAUUUAGUUUAUUAGUGUAAUUUAAAAAAUUAAAAAUUCAGUGGUGUAAUAAAUAAAAGCUGCCAAUUAUAGUGGCGAAAUUAUUAGUUUUGCCAAUUAAAAUCUCUUCAAAUCUCAUGUUUGUAAGUUGUUUUAGGGAGGAAAGGAGGAGAUUUAGUAGUAAAGUUGAUUUUAUUUUUGGCUUAAAAUUUUUUGGGAG
rnacentral:lncRNA from 1 species